UAGCUCAGUUGGUAGAGCAUGGUGUUUGCAAUGCCAGGGUUGUGGGUUAGAUUCCCAC
rfam:Salmo salar isolate Sally breed double haploid chromosome ssa11, whole genome shotgun sequence.